rnacentral:rRNA from 1 species
UACGAGGGGGGCGAGCGUUGUUCGGAAUUAUUGGGCGUAAAGGGUGCGUAGGCGGCCUGACAAGUCUGAUGUGAAAUCCCUGGGCUCAACCCAGGGCCUGCAUCGGAAACUGUCGGGCUUGAGUAUGGGAGAGGUGAGUGGAAUUUCCGGUGUAGCGGUGAAAUGCGUAGAUAUCGGAAGGAACACCUGUGGCGAAAGCGGCUCACUGGACCAUUACUGACGCUGAGGCACGAAAGCUAGGGGAGCAAACAGG